rnacentral:misc_RNA from 1 species
AUAAAAAUAAAAUAAAUAAAGAAGUUCAACUAGGGGUGGGUUUUGGUUUUAGAUAAAGUCUUAACUUGACUAAAUUUGGAAUGAACUUAUUUUCUAUUCCUUCUAACCAACCAUUUAUUUACUUUAUAAUUCAUAACACUAAAAGCGCAAUGAAUAGAAGAACCUCAAAAAAAUCUAUUUGAUAAUUAGAAUAAUAAUAAUAAUAAUUUAAGAUGUAUCCCCUUAUUUAAGUAAUUAAAGUGUACCCUUUUUAACUACUAAAAAGAGAUAUUUUAUACACAAAGGACUUUUUAAUUUUUAUUAAUUUAAAUGAUUCAAGGUGUUUUUCCUAUUUGAGUGGCUCAAGGGGAAUCCCUUUUAAAAAAACUAUAAAAAAAAAUUUUUUUGCCCAAAUUAAUUAAUAAUAAUUUGAGGGCACCCCCCCAAUUAAGUAGCUUAAGGGGUAGCCCCCUUUAACUA